AUUGAACGCUGGCGGCAGGCUUAACACAUGCAAGUCGAGCGGAAACGAUGGUAGCUUGCUACCAGGCGUCGAGCGGCGGACGGGUGAGUAAUACUUAGGAAUCUACCUAGUAGUGGGGGAUAGCUCGGGGAAACUCGAAUUAAUACCGCAUACGACCUACGGGAGAAAGGGGGCAGUUUACUGCUCUCGCUAUUAGAUGAGCCUAAGUCGGAUUAGCUAGAUGGUGGGGUAAAGGCCUACCAUGGCGACGAUCUGUAGCUGGUCUGAGAGGAUGAUCAGCCACACCGGGACUGAGACACGGCCCGGACUCCUACGGGAGGCAGCAGUGGGGAAUAUUGGGCAAUGGGGGAAACCCUGAUCCAGCCAUGCCGCGUGUGUGAAGAAGGCCUUUUGGUUGUAAAGCACUUUAAGCAGUGAAGAAGACUCCGUGGUUAAUACCCACGGACGAUGACAUUAGCUGCAGAAUAAGCACCGGCUAACUCUGUGCCAGCAGCCGCGGUAAUACAGAGGGUGCAAGCGUUAAUCGGAAUUACUGGGCGUAAAGGGAGCGUAGGUGGCUCGAUAAGUCAGAUGUGAAAUCCCCGGGCUCAACCUGGGAACUGCAUCUGAUACUGUUGAGCUAGAGUAUGUGAGAGGAAGGUAGAAUUCCAGGUGUAGCGGUGAAAUGCGUAGAGAUCUGGAGGAAUACCGAUGGCGAAGGCAGCCUUCUGGCAUAAUACUGACACUGAGGCUCGAAAGCGUGGGUAGCAAACAGG
rnacentral:rRNA from 1 species